rnacentral:rRNA from 1 species
GACGUAGGGGGCGAGCGUUGUCCGGAUUUAUUGGGCGUAAAGAGCGCGUAGGCGGCCCGGAAAGUCGGAUGUGAAAACCCGGGGCUCAACCCCGGGCCUGCAUCCGAUACUCCCGGGCUGGAGGCAGGUAGGGGAGAUCGGAAUUCCUGGUGUAGCGGUGAAAUGCGCAGAUAUCAGGAGGAACACCGGUGGCGAAGGCGGAUCUCUGGGCCUGUCCUGACGCUGAGGCGCGAAAGCUAGGGGAGCAAACAGG